AUUGACCGCUGGCGGCAGGCCUAAUACAUGCAAGUCGAGCGAGCGGCGGACGGGGGAGUAAUGUCUGGGAAACUGCCUGAUGGAGGGGGAUAACUACUGGAAACGGUAGCUAAUACCGCAUACCAUCAGAUGUGCCCAGGUGGGACUAGCUAGAGGGUGGGGUAACGGCUCACCUAGGCGACGAUCCCUAGCUGAUCUGAGAGGAUGACCAGCCACACUGGAACUGAGACACGUUCCAGACUCCUACGGGAGUCAGCAGUGGGGAAUUUUGCUCAAUGGACGCAAGCUUGAUGCAGCCAUGCCGCGUGUGGUAAGAAGUCGUUCGGUUUGUAAAGCGCUGGCAGCGGUGAGGCGUUACCCGCAGAGGAAGCACCGGCUAACUCCGUGCCAGCCGCCGCGGUAAUUC
rnacentral:rRNA from 1 species